rnacentral:rRNA from 1 species
AUCUUCUUUGAAGGUAUGCUUAAGGAGGGGCUUGCGACACAUUAGUUAGUUGGCAGGGUAAAGGCCUACCAAGACUAUGAUGUGUAGCUGGACUGAGAGGUUGAACAGCCACAUUGGGACUGAGACACGGCCCAAACUCCUACGGGAGGCAGCAGUAGGGAAUUUUCGGCAAUGGAGGAAACUCUGACCGAGCAACGCCGCGUGAACGAUGAAGUACCUCGGUAUGUAAAGUUCUUUUAUUAAGGAAGAAAAAAGAGUGGAAAAACUCCCUUGACGGUACUUAAUGAAUAAGCCCCGGCUAAUUAUGUGCCAGCAGCCGCGGUAAUACAUAAGGGGCGAGCGUUAUCCGGAAUUAUUGGGCGUAAAGGGUGCGUAGGCGGUUUAAUAAGUCUAUAGUUUAAUUUCAGUGCUUAACGCUGUUGUGCUAUAGAAACUGUUUUACUAGAGUGAGAUAGAGGCAAGCGGAAUUCCAUGUGUAGCGGUAAAAUGCGUAAAUAUAUGGAGGAACACCAGAGGCGUAGGCGGCUUGCUGGGUCUUUACUGACGCUGAGGCACGAAAGCGUGGGGAGCAAACAGGAUUAGAUACCCUGGUAGUCCACGCCGUAAACGAUGAGUACUAAGUGUCGGGUAAAACUGGUACUGAAGUUAACACAUUAAGUACUCCGCCUGAGUAGUACGUACGCAAGUAUGAAACUUAAAGGAAUUGACGGGACUCCGCACAAGCGGUGGAUCAUGUUGUUUAAUUCGAAGAUACACGAAAAACCUUACCAGGUCUUGACAUUUUCUUGCGAAGUUAUAGAAAUAUAAUGGAGGUUAUC